rnacentral:rRNA from 1 species
CAGUAGCCGCGGGAAUACGUAGGGGGCAAGCGUUAUCCGGAUUUACUGGGUGUAAAGGGAGCGUAGACGGAAUGGCAAGUCUGAAGUGAAAUGCCCGGGCUCAACCCGGGAACUGCUUUGGAAACUGUCGAUCUGGAGUGUUGGAGAGGUAAGUGGAAUUCCUGGUGUAGCGGUGAAAUGAGUAGAGAUCAGGAAGAACACCGGAGGCGAAGGCGGCUUACUGGACAAAGACUGACGUUGAGGCUCGAAAGCGUGGGAAGCAAACAGGAUUAGAUACCCGCGUAGUCCCUGUCUCUUAUAA